CCCUUGAAAAUAUUUUCUGGAGUCAUGGAUCUCAUCUGCAGGAACAUGAAUCACCUGUGGUUCUUUCUCUUUCUGGUGGCAGCUCCCAGAUGUGUCCUGUCCCAGGUGCAGCUGCAGGAGUUAGGACCUGGCCUGGUGAAGCCCUCGCAGACCCUCUCCCUCACCUGUACUGUCUCUGGGUUCUCUUUAACCAGCUAUUAUGUGGGCUGGAUCCGCCAGGCUCCAGGAAAAGGGCUGGAGUGGGUUGGCGUUACACGGGGUAGUGGAAGCAUAUACUAUAACCCAACUCUGAAGUCCCGACUCAGCAUCACCAGGGACACCUCCAAGAGCCAAGUUUAUUUAACACUGAGAAGCCUGACAGGCGACGACACGGCGGUGUAUUACUGUGCAAGAUACACAGUUAAGGGAAGUGUCUUGUCCCAGGUGCAGCUGCAGGAGUCGGACCAGGACUGGUGA